UACUAGAGUAGCACUCGCAUAUCAAUAAGCGGAGGAAAAGAAACUAACAAGGAUUCCCCUAGUAACGGCGAGUGAAGCGGGGAAGAGCUCAAAUUUGAAAUCUUAAAGGGUUUCCCUUUACGAAUUGUAGUUUAAAGAAGUGUUUUCUGUUGAGGUUUUGGUAAAAGUUCUUUGGAAUAGGACAUCAUAGAGGGUGAGAAUCCCGUAUUUGACCUUUACUUUCAACUUUGUGAUACACUUUCAAAGAGUCGGAUUGUUUGGGAAUGCAGUCCAAAAUGGGUGGUAAAUUUCAUCUAAAGCUAAAUAUUGGCGAGAGACCGAUAGCGAACAAGUACCGUGAGGGGAAGAUGAAAAGAACUUUGAAAAGAGAGUUAAACAGUACGUGAAAUUGUCAAAAGGGAAGCGUUUGACACCAGUGUUGUUUUUCUGAAAAUCAAUUAAAGAACUGUUUAUGCUAAGCUGUUUAGACUUUAUCAGCUAUCUGUUUAGUUUUAGGCUUUUCUUUAAUGCACUUUUCAGUUAACAAGUCAACAUCAAUUUCUUUUGCUGUAAAAAAGCUUGAGGAAGGUGGCUUGAGAUUCGUCUUAAGUGUUUAUAGCCUCUUGCCUAUGCAGUCGGAGAGAUUGAGGUCUGCAGCGUAGAUCCUUCGGGGCUAAAUGCAUUUGUGCUAAGUUAUAGCAUUUUAUAGACAACUUGUUGACUAUGAUUUGUCUUGUAGCUUACUCGCUUAUGUUAUUUUACCUACGCUUAGGAUGUUGAGCGCAUGUCUCUCUCU
rnacentral:rRNA from 1 species